GGUUAAGGCAAGAAGUUAGCCGCAAGGCGACGCUUUGAACCGAAGCCCCCGUGAAUGUCGGCCGUAACUAUAACGGUCCUAAGGUAGCGAAAUUCCUUGUCGGGUAAGUUCCGACCUGCACGAAUCGUGUAACGACUUGAGCGCUGUCUCAACGAGGAUCUCGGUGAAAAUUGUAGUUCAGAUGAAAAUGUCUGAUUCCCGCAGUAGGACGGAAAGACCCUGUGAACCUUUACUGUAACCUGAUAUGGGGUUCUGGAUUGUCAUAUGUAGCAUAGCUGGGAGGCAUUGAAGCGUGGCCGUCAGGUCACGUGGAGCCAUCAGUGAAAUACCAGUUUUGAUUGUUCGGAAUUCUAACCUCGACCCGUCAACCGGGUGGGGGGACAGUGUCAGGGGGUCAGUUUGACUGGGGCGGUUUCCUCCAAAAAAGUAACGGAGGAGCGCGAUGGUUCCCUCAGCACGGUUGGCAAUCGUGCGUAGAGCGUAUAGGUAUAAGGGAGCUUAACUGCGAGACCAACAAGUCGAGCAGAUGCGAAAGCAGG
rnacentral:rRNA from 1 species